CUCCGUGCGGCCAGGGAGAGGAGCGUGGGUCUCCUCGAAGCAGAAGAGGGGAACGCUAUCUGCCAUGGAGCAGGAAGGCUGAGCGACGUCCACAGCUGAACAGCGAGGCUGAGCGACGUCCACAGCUGAACAGCGAGGCUGAGCGACGUCCACAGCUGAACAGCGAGGCUGAGCGAUGUCCACAGCUGAACAGCGAGGCUGAGCGACGUCCACAGCUGAACAGCGAGGCUGAGGCUCUGAGGUUACUAGGUGAACCUUGGGCAUGGGCGGAGCUUGGCUGGCCGUGUCGGCGGACUGGGCCGUGAGCGGACCUUGGCUGGGCGUGUCGGCGGACUGGGGCGUGAACGGAGCUUGGCGGUGCGUGUCGGCAGACUGGGGCGUGAGCGGAGCUUGGCGGUGCGUGUCGGCAGACUGGGGCGUGAGCGGAACUUGGCUGUGCGUGUCAGUGGGUUGAACUGGGGCAACCGGGUCGGUAGACUUGGGCGUGAGCAGCAUUUGGUCCUUAGGCUGAGAUAUUAGCAGAGCUCGGGCGUCAGAGCCUGGAGGCUUGGCUUGGGCGUCAGAGCCUGGAGGCUUGGCUUGGGCGUCAGAGCCUGGAGGCUUGGCUUGGACCUCAGGGACAUGAGACUUGACCUGGACCUUCCUGACUGGAGGCUGGACCUGGAGCUCAGGGACUGGAGGCUGGACCUGGAUCUCAGGGACUGGAGGCUUGACUUGGAUCUCAGGGACUGGAGGCUUGACUUGGAUUUCAGAGUUACGCUCUGCAUGAAGUUGCCUGUAGUAGUGGGUAAACGGCAGGGCAGGUUCGCCUUCCAGACUUACCCCCUGAGAAGUUGUUCUAGCUCCUCCUUUGCCUCCGGACUCCCGAAUCGCAUCAUGAAUUCCCCCACAAACUGUUCUACACUCUCCAGGUUCCUACAGUGCUUAUCCAGUUUGAGCUGCACCCUUUAACGGGCUGGUCCAAAGAACCGGGACCACAUGAAUCAGAGGCAGUGCUUCUCCUCUGGCUUAGGGUCUGACAGGCUGGAGAAAUAGAAUUGACAAUCUACCAGGAAAUACUCUGGGGCACCGAAAAAUCCAUCAAAUGGAUCAGGAAGCUCCAUAAUUGUCCAUUGUGGGAAGUGGACUGAGUCCAUAGCAGGGACGGUGGGCGUCGACUUCCGGGUUCUGAGUCUCCUCCGUUCUCCUGCUGCAUCCAUGUUUCGGCGGAAGAUUCUGUCACACAUCGUGACGAAGCAAAGAUAAGGCGGAUGCAAGUGCAGGAUAACAGUUGUUUAUUUAAAGAGACAGGCAGGCAGCCAAAUCCUAAACGUGAUCCAAAACGUAAUCCAUAAACAUGCAAGAGGUCAGGCGAUUGGCAAACAGGCAUACACGGGGCAAGGCAGGAAUCUAGGUCGUUAAACAAAACAAGACACAAACUAAGGCGAGGGACUGGAAGCGGAUAAUCCAGCGCGAACUCGCUUAUGGCUAUGGCUAUGGCUUAACACACACUCACUCACUCACUCACUCACUCACUCUUCCGCGUUGUGUGCUGGGAAGCGCGCGGUAUAUAUGCGGACCUGAUUAGCGUGUAAACUGCUAUUAGCUGGGAGCAAUACAGACCCACGUGAAUUCCCAGCCAAUGACGGAACAGGGAGGAGACAUGACAAACAUAAACAAAACACACGUGUCCCAAUGUCACUAAGGUCAAAAGCGGAAAAGCAGGUGCUCGCGCAUUUGCGCUUAGAGCACACUGCUUCAAGGGGGAAUUGUGACAUUUGUGUUUGUUCAAAACACUGCGUUAUAUACAACCGUUAACACCGACAAAAAUCACGAAAGUGCCACCUAAUGGCUUAUUUAAAAAAAAAAACAAAAAAAAAAACUGCACAAACCUCUUAGAACAAGAGCCGAACAGGUCCACCAAGUUUCAUUCCAAUCUGCCAUUGGUAACCUUGUCUAACAGUUACUGAAAUUUGAUUGGCCAAUGGCAGCCAUGUUUUUCAACAUACAUGAACGUGCUUGGAGACAGUGAUAGCAACUGAGACAAAGACACUGCAUGCACAUUUUGCAGUUAUUACAAUAGAUUUUCAUCAAUUCGGGCUUGAACCCCUAAUAAUAAUAAACUCUUUUUAUUGUGGGUGUGUGAGUCAUAUGGGGGUGGAAUGCUGGGGUGCUCACUGACGCUUCUAUGCCUAGAAAUAGCCCUGCCUAAAAGGUAUCGCAUAUCCAGGCCUGCCCAUAUGAAACUAUUAUGUGCCAAAUGUGGCAAUAGUGAUCUGAUUGUAUGCAUAUAACACAGAGCAUCACCCUUUCCUGGAAGAGCAAGGACACUUUUAAAGUAAACUUGAACAAAAUGCCCCCCAGUCAUGGAUGCACAGCCAUCCAGAAUGGAAAAAGCCUUCACCAGCAGAUAGGUGACAGAUGAUCUGUGUACUUGUUGAUGAAAUGCAGAAAAUUUAAGUAAAUCCAAGCAGAGCCCAGUGUAUCAUCAUUGCAAGGAACAUAUCAUGAUAGUAUCCCCAGACAUUUAUGGAUACAAUGGAUUACGGAACAACUGUAGGGGCAUGUAAUGAAUCUCUUCUGUGUCAAAUAAAGACAUAGGUCUAAUAACUCAUUUUGUUUCUGUGCUUUUUUUUAAAGUGGCUGCCAUACCAGCAGCUGUCCAGUUGAUUGUCUCAUUGACUGACACCCCAUGUUUGGUUGUGGUUG
ensembl:lncRNA